AAUGGCCUUUGUGCUCCAUUGACUCCAAAUCUGCAAAGAAUGGAAUGAGGUUGCAAUAAGCACUCAUCUAAAGAGGUUCACAGCCAAGAGCCAAAGCCAGGUGAUCAGAAGAACGUUUAUUUGCUGCUGUCGCUGGCUUUACUUGACUUCCUUCAUGAAGACUUGGUCUCAGAGGAUGCAACUGACAGCAAAUUUCCUGCUAGAAGGAGACAAUUCUGGGCAUCGGAAAUCUGAUAUCGACUCAUGGAAUAAGUGUUUUUGCUGGCAUUUGAAAGAAGGCCACUGUAAUGCUGAUGACAGGAUCAUCUGGAGGCCUACUCUGGAACAUAGUCCUUGACCCUGGGAAACAAAGCUAUACCCACUACACAGGAUGGCACAGAAUAGUUGGAGAGUAAAACCACAGCUUCAUGAUGUGGACCAUUGACUAUGGGGUGCAGUGAUGCUCAGAGAUGAACUUACCAGGUGCAAUGGAUGUGUCAUGAUGAUGGGAGAGAGUGUUGCUGUGGGG
rnacentral:lncRNA from 1 species